UCAGGAUGAACGCUAGCGGCAGGCUUAACACGAUGCAAGUCGAGGGGCAGCGCGGGCUGAGUAGCAAUACAACGCCUGGCGGCGACCGGCGGAAGGGUGCGUAACGCGUGAGCAACUUGCCCGUAGUCAGGGGGGAUAACCGGUGGAAACGCCGCCUAAUACCCCAUAACAACGGAGGUCACAUGACCUUUGUUUGAAAGCUACGGCGGAUACGGAUGGGCUCGCGUGACAUUAGCUAGUUGGAGAGGUAACGGCUCACCAAGGCGACGAUGGUCUAGGGGUUCUGAGAGGAAGGUCCCCCACACUGGAACUGAGACACGGUCCAGACUCCUACGGGAGGCAGCAGUGAGGAAUAUUGGUCAAUGGGCGGAAGCCUGAACCAGCCAUGCCGCGGUAGAAGGAAUAAGGUCCUAUGGAUUGUAAACUUCUUUUGAGCGGGAGCAAUAAGGGCUACGCGUAGUCCGAUGAGAGUACCGUUCGAAUAAGCAUCGGCUAACUCCGUGCCAGCCGCGGC
rnacentral:rRNA from 1 species